rnacentral:rRNA from 1 species
UACGUAGGGGGCAAGCGUUAUCCGGAUUUACUGGGUGUAAAGGGAGCGUAGACGGCAUAGCAAGUCUGAAGUGAAAGCCCGUGGCUCAACCGCGGAACUGCUUUGGAAACUGUUAAGCUGGAGUACUGGAGAGGCAAGCGGAAUUCCUAGUGUAGCGGUGAAAUGCGUAGAUAUUAGGAGGAACACCAGUGGCGAAGGCGGCUUGCUGGACAGAGACUGGCGUUGAGGCUCGAAAGCGUGGGGAGCAAACAGG